rnacentral:rRNA from 1 species
UUAUCUAGGUCGGCGGUUUCACCCAGAUCCCAAGCAGCAAAGCGGAUCUAACGAACGGCCUUGUCCUGGGGAGGUUUUGGCGGUGUCCAGAAGAGAGCGAGAGCGCAAGUCCAGGAGAGCUAAAGCGGGGCAGGAAGAGGAGACUAGGCUUCCGCUUAACGCAAACGAACACUUCUUGUUUCUCUCCACGACUUCGACCCCGUACGAGAUUAUCAGCCUCUACCUUCAUCUAUGUGACUUCUUACUUAAGCUAGCACAACAAUUUUUCGUCUUUGAACGUAGGAGCUCUUGAUAUCUAAACUAUUUGGUUUAGCUCUUUCUUUAACUCGUCCGAUAGCCACGAUAGGUUCUUUUACCGUGUCUAUCCCUACGACGUAGUUUAGACUUGGUACUUUAAGAAUGAUUAGACUUCUUAUGUGACUUUCUCAACCAAGGUCACUUCGUUGAACUCUCGACGGUCUUUCUUUACUUGUGACGUGAACCGUUCACCCAGUUCUGGUGGCUCUUUAAGAAGUAGUUACUAUAAAGUUUUCGAAUGUUCUUACAGCUGUACCUUGGCGUACAUGAAUUACUCUAAUAACGUUUGGUAGAUAUGGUCCUCCGUAAUAAACUGUAUCCACUGUUGAAAGAACCUCUCCGGUCAACGAAUCGUAGAUAUUUUGACUUUGUUGACAAAGUCCUCUACAUACUCUAAACACCACGCGACGCCUGACUCUUUAAACUCGGUCGAGACUCAACCCGUUACUUUUUAGUACUACGUGAUGACGUUUUGCUAAGGACAGAGCUCGAAUUCGAAGUGGUCAACGUCAAACAACUCUAUGAGUUCGUUCCUUUUUCUCUACUCCGAGAAGUCAUACGAUCCCGUAUGGACCGCGGUAAACGAUGGUGUGUGUUCCUACAUUAGGUCUUCGACUAUCGGAGGUAUAAUACCCGGCCCGCGGAACUGGUCAGUGGUAUAUGUCUCAAGAAUCAUGGUUGAUUGACCCUCUUCGAUCGACUCCUCAAGCGAGUUGUCAAGACGCUAGACUUCCCAGUUAGGAGGUGUCCAGGAUACCCGUACUGUCAACGUCGACCUCGACUUCACAACGGUUAAGAAGAAUUUGACUACUGCCAUGAUUGACGUUUUUCCCUCACCGUCAGAUACUUCCUUAAAGGAAAGGGUAACCUGGAGGCGUCCCUUAAAGUCAAGGUGAGUCACAAGUAGACAGGACACGAAGCACUCGUUCCAUCACUACUAUUAGGAGGUUACGAAGAAGGUACACCCGUACAGAACAGCUUCGUCAGCUGGCGUUUUAAUAGUUUCUCGUCGAGGGCCAGAAAGUUUACGGGUAUAACGGGCAAACUUCGUAACCGUAGACUCACAUUCGCCGAAAUAUAGACUCCUCGAGGGCCAGAAAGUUUACGGGUAUAACGGGCAAGCUUCGUAACCGUAGACUCACAUUCGCCGAAAUAUAGACUCCUAAACAAUGAGAUACUAAUCGGUAAACACACGUGGUCGGAAACGAUAGAGAAAAGGACAGUUGCUACGAUGCAAGAAAAUAGUGGAGGGACUAUUACAGUUUAGAAGCAACUGUGAACGUUUCCAUUAUGCAAUAUGAGUCCCACGAGUUGAGACGAGUACAGAACAUAUAUCUCAUACUUUCUCUACAUUAUUCUUGUGUAACCUACUAAAUAAGAGAACUAUCCCGGUACCCCACUAAAAUGACGCAAACUAACUGAACCUUCACGGUCGAACAAAAAAAGUCUCUUUACUCGAGAGAAAAAAACACCCUUCCAGAUAAAAAAUUAGUCGAGGAAAUUCACUACCAUAAUUGAACACUACGAUUCCUACACAAACCAACUCGACAUCUAAGAACUUUUCGACGACACCUUUUCGACCUCCAACAAAGCAAUUUUGCUGACACUUUGACAUCUAAAUUAACACUUAACAGAUCACAGGGACCCAGCCUCACUUAUACAAAUAUACGA